rnacentral:rRNA from 1 species
UACGGAAGGCAGCAGUGGGGAAUAUUGCACAAUGGGCGCAAGCCUGAUGCAGCCAUGCCGCGUGUAUGAAAAAGGCCUUCGGGUUGUAAAGUACUUUCAGUCGUGAGGAAGGUGUUAAGGUUAAUAACCUUAGCAAUUGACGUUAGCGACAGAAGAAGCACCGGCUAACUCCGUGCCAGCAGCCGCGGUAAUACGGAGGGUGCGAGCGUUAAUCGGAAUUACUGGGCGUAAAGGGCACGCAGGCGGUUAAUUAAGUUGGAUGUGAAAUCCCCGGGCUUAACCUGGGAAUGGCAUUCAAGACUGGUUAGCUAGAGUCUUGUAGAGGGGGGUAGAAUUCCAUGUGUAGCGGUGAAAUGCGUAGAGAUGUGGAGGAAUACCGGUGGCGAAGGCGGCCCCUGGACAAAGACUGACGCUCAUGUGCGAAAGCGUGGGGAGCGAAACAGGGAUUAGAUACC